CAUGUCUCUUUGAUUUAUUUUAAUAAAGAGUUGGGCCUGCUCGGUGAUUAAUAUUUAACAGCUGCGGUAUUAUAACUGUACUAAGGUAGCAUAAUAAUUUGCCUUAUAAAUUGGGGCUAGAAUGAAUGGUUUGACGAAAAUUAUACUGUCUCUGUCUUAUUUAUUAGAAGUUAAUUUUUAUAGUGAGAAAGCUUGGAUGAUUUAAAGGGACGAAAAGACCCUAUUGAGCUUUAUAUUAUACUUUAAAACUAUUUAUUGUUUUUAUUUAAAUAUAAUUUUGGUUGGGGUGAUCAAGGAAUAAAUAAUUAAUAUUAACUUCCUUAAUUUUAUUAUAGUUAUAUAAAUAAACCAAAUUUUUUGCUUAGAAGAUAAGUUACCAUAGGGAUAACAGCGUAAUUUUUUUUGAAAGUUCAUAUUGAAAAAAGAGAUUGCGACCUCGAUGUUGGAUUAAAAUAACCUUAAGGUGAAGAGGCUUUAAUUGGUGAAUCUGUUCGAUUUUUAAAAUUUUACGUGAUC
rnacentral:rRNA from 1 species